GACGAACGCUGGCGGCGUGCUUAACACAUGCAAGUCGAACGGAAAGGCCCUGCUUUUGUGGGGUGCUCGAGUGGCGAACGGGUGGGUAACACGUGAGUAACCUGCCCUUGACUUUGGGAUAACUUCAGGAAACUGGGGCUAAUACCGGAUAGGAGCUCCUGCUGCAUGGUGGGGGUUGGAAAGUUUCGGCGGUUGGGGAUGGACUCGCGGCUUAUCAGCUUGUUGGUGGGGUAGUGGCUUACCAAGGCUUUGACGGGUAGCCGGCCUGAGAGGGUGACCGGCCACAUUGGGACUGAGAUACGGCCCAGACUCCUACGGGAGGCAGCAGUGGGGAAUAGUGCACAAUGGGCGGAAGCCUGAUGCAGCAACGCCGCGUGCGGGAUGACGGCCUUCGGGUUGUAAACCGCUUUCGCCUGUGACGAAGCGUGAGUGACGGUAAUGGGUAAAGAAGCACCGGCUAACUACGUG
rnacentral:rRNA from 1 species